GUGUGAUGCACACGUAUAUUUUAUAUUCUAAUGCAUGUUUUUGUUACCGUUACUCAUAUUUAUGAUGCUAUACAUACCUUGAAGAUGUUCAAAGCACUUUAUAGAUAUAGGAUUAAACAAAUGAUGAGAAAAGUCACCGUAGGCAAAACCAUCCUGUUAGCCAGUUGGAAAUCAUCACUUCGAAAAUCGCGACUUUCGGAUAGCGUACAGAA
rnacentral:lncRNA from 1 species